UUAGGUGCUAGUCUCUCUCUUUUGGAUAACCAGUUACAUGAGCUUCUUAUCUUAGUUCGGGUAGCAAGUAGGUUUACUUGGAGUAUGUUGGUGGGACAUGUAAUAUGAAAUUGGUAAUUAGCAAGUGACUAUUGUAUAUAAUUAGCAAGUGACAUGUAUAUAAGACCCUGGCAGAUCACCUUUGCCUCUUGUUGCUGCAGAUUGAUACUCAUCAUGUUUUGACUAGUUCCAUAUUAAGUGACAUUACAUAUAUACAAGAAUCAAUGUAUGGAUAAUUUGAUCACUUUUGAAUGUCAUCACUUUUGUGUAUGUGAAUCAAUGUAUGGCUAAUGUUUGAUCAUCGGCUAUACGUUUAGAGCAGCUUUUAUUUUUUUACCUAUUUAAUUGAGCUCGAUGGACUGUCCGUUGCUAAAAGUUCUAAUUGCUAUGGAUUGUCCAUUGCUAAAAGCUCUAAUAGGCUGUCUUUUGCUAAAGGUUGGACUGUCGAACUGUUCAUCGCUAAAUAUGAUGUCCGUCGCUAUAUACAUACAACGACGGCUUCAAUAGCAACGACAGCGGUCCGUCGCUAUAGCCUUUAGCAACGGACUGUCCAUUGGUGUACACCCCUUUUAGCAACGGACUGUCCAUCGCUGUUUAAAGGUUGUGGUGUAGUGAAUGAAAAAGCAAUAUUCAUUUGAAAUAAUAUGUAUACAUAUUAAAUUACUUCAAAACUUUCUUCUAACGUUCCUUGAUGCGAAGUCAUCGAUGAUGGUGUCAAUAUUGAUCUCAUCCAAUAAUCACUUCUCAAUGCAUAAUAUUGUCAAUCCAUUUAACCUCUCUUGUGACAUUAUAAAUCUCAAAUAGUUCUUCAUCAAUUUAAACUUAGAGAAACAAUUAGUAGCUAUAAUUUCAUAAAGUAAGGAUGACAUGAGAAACAAUUACUAACUAAAUUUCAGAUUACCUCGAUGGUUGCUGUGGCCUGGCGCCUGCCUUGGUGCCUCCUCUGCUGGAACUGUCCAUUGCCGAACAGUAAUUAGAGACGAUGGAUCAAGUGUGAGUUAAGGUCUUGUUUAGUUUACCCUAACAUCUAAAAACUUUUUAAAUUUCCAUCAGAUCGAAUCUUUCGGCACAUGUAUAAAAUAUUAAAUAUAGAUAAAAAUAACUAAAAAUAUGAUUUUUCUGUAAUUAACAAGAUGAAUUAUUUAUACCUAGUUAGUCCAUUGAACAAUAAUUACUAAAUACAAACAAAAGUAUUAUAAUAUUAAAAUUUAAAAUUUUUUUGGAUCUAAACCAGGGUAAGAUUAGGGCCGUGUGAUAAGUGUGAAUUGUCGGCUGCUCUGCUGCUGGAAAGUCAAAAGUGGAACUCCGACGCCACCAGGCCCCAGCUGCUGUCCGCCCAAGCUGCACACGCAGCCGUGCAGGAAGGCCCGAAGGCGGAAGGUGACGUCUCGCAUGACGGCUGGCUCACAUCGCACAUGCCAUGCUCACAUGGAGUAGGAGAGUCAAUCUGGCAUGUGUGUAUACGUAUUACGUACUGGUGUAUACAUUGGGUAAGAAAGCUGCUUGGCUUGGGCUGGACUUAGACGAUACUUUGGCAUUUCACUAAUCAUGAAAAACUGGUUUCGCAAUUUUAUUAUCCCACAAAGUGGUUUUGUUCUUUUACCAUUAUGAACCAAGUGUACCCCGCUGGAUUGCCAUUUGGGGUGUUCGAAUUGGUGAGAAAAAAAGAAGGCCAAUCCUUCCACUUCUACCCCUGCCUAUUCUCCCGUUCAUCGUCAAAACAGAUCACUGAUCAGUUGAAUGCCCCGCCGUUGUAAGCCCUAGUUUAGUUUUAGAUAAUUGAUGAAACCCUAAUACUAACAUUUAUACUAAGUGUGUGUAGACUUAAUGAGGUUGGUACAUAACAAGUGAUGGAGCAACCGAUGAUCAUGAUGAUGAAGGUGAUGAACACAAGAUGAUCAAGUGCUCAACUUGGAAAAGAAGAAACAGAAAAACAAAGCUCUAUGGAGAUCAAGGCAAAGUAUUGCUUAGGGUUUUAGUUUUGGUGAUCAAGACACCAUAGAAGGUGUGAUCACAUUUAGGAUAGAUAGUCGUACUAUAAAGAGGGAAAUUCUUUGGCUAAGCGGUUAUCGAGUGCCACUAGGUGUCAUUGUUCAUGUGUAUGCAUUUAGAACAUAGUGAGCUAACUUAACUCCUUCGAAGAAAAUGAUUGUGAAAAUGCUAACACACUUGCACAUGUUGGUACACACAUGGUAGUCUUGGCACACUUUGAGAAGGAGGUAGAGUUUGAAGGGUAGAGAGGGGUUUGAGAUUCGGUGUUUUUGAGAAAAUGAAAUGCAUAUUUUCUAUUACACUGGUGGAAAGUUUGGAGAAGUCAUGAGAGUGUUUUUCACGGACGCUGGCCUCAGAGGCACCGGACGCUGCCUCUAAGUGUUCGGUGCACUCUCGUUUCUGGUAGAGGUGAAGGGAGCACCGGGCGCCCAGCACCGGACUCGGGCUAGACCCUGUUCAUGCGUCCGGUGUGGCUUGACAUCAACAGUAAGAGUAUGAGGGUUUCUGACUGAGAGCACCGGAUGCUCAGGAAGCUUCCGGUGGUGUGAGUCUGGUGAUCCCGUGUCUUUGCAACCCUCUCUACGUACGUGUCCGGUGUGUCCCGGACACGUCCCGUGCUCACUUGACUCCAUCCGGUGGUUUGAAUAUGACCGUUAGAGAUUGACACGCGAGAUUCAAGUUGUGGACACAUGGCUGUGUUCUGAGCACCAGACGUAGGGGUUGAGCGUCCCGUGACCCCAUGUUCAGCCCAGUGAAAGAGCCAACGGCUCUAUUUGUUUGAGGGGCUUAUAAAUAUUUGUUGGCCGGCUUGGGGCUCACUUUCUUGACAUUCUUGACUACUAGACAUCCUUGUGAGCCUAAGCAAACACCUCCCACUCAUCUCCUUCAUAGAUUAAACAUCUUUGUUAGAUUGAGAGUGAUUCCAAGUGUAUUUGCCUGAGUCAUUGCAUCUAGUGGCACUUGGGGAUCGAUUUGGCUAUGGUUUUCUUGUUACUCUUGGUGGUUGCCGCCACCUAGAUGGCAUGGAGCAGCGGAGGAGCAUUGGCCUGAGUUGGUGAUUGUUCGUGGCCAUCUCCCAGUGAUUGUGAGGGAACUAUGCCUACCUUGGCGGAGAGCCAAAGGUAACUUUAGUAGAUUGCGCGUGUCAUCGAGCUACCUCACUUGUGGGUAGGUUCUUGCGGUGUCCUAGUGAGGACAAGGUUCGUGCUACACCUCUUAGCCGCCGAUCCGCCAAGUGUUGAUCGACACAACGGGGAUGUAGCGUGCCAGGAAGCACAUGAACCUCGAGAGAAAAAUUGGUGUCUCAAUUGUGUUUGAUUGGCAUUCUCCUAGUGCUUGAUUAUUCAUAUAUUGGUGAUUGAUUCAUCCCCUACACGACAGUAUAAAUAUCUCAUCCUCUUCAUCUACUCACCGCAAAGUAGUGUAAUUAGUUUAGUUGCUUACUUUCUCUUGAGUAUCAUAGUUCACUAGUGUAGCUUGUAGUGACAUAGUUCUUGUGUGCCUAGUGAUCAUAUCAACUAGAAUUGUUGGAUAGGUGGCUUGCAAACACCACUUUUAGAGCUUGAGCAAAAAGCUUCGCUUUGUUAUUUAAUAACCACUUUCUCUAGUGAGUUUGUAGAAAUUUUAAAUAGGUUAUUCACCCCCUCUAGCCAUAUUUGGGCCUAUCAAGUGGUAUCAGAGCCGUGGUCACCAUUUUGUGAAGGCUUAACAACCUCGGUGCUCAAAUUAUUGCUCAAAGAGUGUUCAACCAUGUUGGGGCAAACCACAGUUCUUUGAUGGGACAAGUUCCUUUGACUAUUGGAAGAGAAAAAUGAAAAUGUACCAUGGAUCAAUCAAUGAUAAAGUGUGGGAAGUCACGGAGAAUGAUUUUGUGAUCCUUGAUCCCGCCAACCCCACCAACGAUGAGAGAGCAAACAAGCAAUGCAAUACAAUGGCUCUGAAUACAAUCUACAAUGGCAUUGAUUCAAAGGUGUUUGAACAAGUCAAAGAUCUUAAGAAGGCAAGUGAAGUGUGGACAAGGCUGGAAGAGACCUCUGAGGGCACUACAACGGUAAAAAGUGCCAAAUUAUACAUGCUCAAGGACAAGUUAUCCAACUUCAAGAUGAAGGAUUAUGAGUCCAUAAUGAAGAUGUCCUAUAGGCUCCAAGUCAUCAACAAUGAUCUCAAAGGCCUUGGUGAGAAAGUAAAGGAUGGAGACUUCAUUCACAAGUUCUUGAUGUGCUUACCCAAGAGGUUCAAGACAAUGAAAACAAUCAUCUUUAGAGAGGAUUGAAGGGUGUUUCUCCCAAUGAGGUACUUUGAGAUGUCAUGACCAGAGAUCAAUACAAUGACAAUGAUGAUGAUGAGUUCAUGAAGAAGGAUGAUGAUGAUAAAAAGAAGAGUGUAGCAUCCAAAGCUAGAUCUUCAUCCAAGACCAAGAACAAGGGCAAGGCCAAGAAGGAAGAAUCAAGUGAUGAGGAGUGCUCUAAUGAUGAUAGUGAUGAUGAAGCACUAGCAAUCUUUGUCCGCAAAUUUGGCAAGAUGAUGAAGAACAAGGGCUACCAUACAAGAAAGAGAAGGGACAACUCCAAGAACAAGGAGUAUGUGAGGCUAUGCUACAAGUGCAAGGGUUCCGAUCAUAUUGUGGCGGAUUGUCCUUACAAUAGUGACAAUGAUGAGCAUGAGAAGAAGAACAAGAAAGAGAAGAAAGAAAACAAAGAGAAGAAGAUGGUCUUCAAGAAGAAGAGGAAGGGUGGAUCCUAUGUUGUGACAUGGGAUAGUUAUACUUCUUCUGAUGAUGAUUCAAGUGAUGAUGACAAGGCAUCCAAAAAGAAGGUGGUUGCUAGUAUUGCUAUCAACAACAAGCCAUCACUCUUCGACACUCCUUCAUUCUUUAUGGCUAAGGGCCACAAGGUACAAUAUGAUGAGAGGGAAAGUGAAAGUGAACAUGAAGAUGAACAUGAUAGUGAUAGUGAUGAUGAAAAUUAAUUCACUAAAGAACAACUCAUGGACAUGUUAGAGCAAACUGAUUCACUUAUUCAUUGUAAAAACAAGAAGUGCAAUGAAUUAUCCAAGAAGUUAGAAGCUCUUGAGCAAUCCUUUGAUGAGCUCGAUGCUACUCAUGAGAGGCUAGUGGAUGCCCAUGAGAAUAUUGGCAAGGCUCACACCAAGCUUGAAAAAGCUCACUCCUUGUUGUUAGAAGAGAACAAGGAAAAGGUUGUUGUAUCAUGUGAUGUGGGCACAACAUGUAACUUAAUUAAAGAAUCACCCAACUCAUCUAUUGUUGUUGCCACUAACUCUUCUUGUAGGUCUUCAUCCACCACCACUAAAUCUACCUCUACUUCUAGUGUUGGUGUCAUGUGUGAUGCUUCACUAAAGGUUGAGAAUGAGACUCUCAAGAUAGAGGUGGAUGAGCUCACUCACACGCUAGGCAAAGCCUAUGGUGGUGAGGCCCGCUUGCUAAAGUGCUUGGGUAGCCAAAGGUUUUCUCUCAACAAAGAGGGAUUAGGCUACACCCCCAAGAAAGGCAAGAUGACCUUCAACUCACAAGCCUAGCUUUGUGAAGAGCAAUGGUCAUUAUUGCAAUAGAUGCAAGCAAGUUGGGCACCUAGAGCUUAAUUGCAACAAAAUGAACAAGAACAAGAAAAUUGCUAAUGUAUCUUACAUUGCUUUUGAUUCUUGUUAUGUGCUCACCAAGGGUGAGAAGGGUGUGCAUGCUAAGUUUGUUGGUACACCAAUUGUAGGACACACUUCAAUAUUCCAGUGGUUGAUGGGCCAUCGUUUGAUCCUAUUAAGGUCUAGGGUUCAAACCAAUUGAAAGGCGGUUCAGUUAUGCCAACCGUCUGUAGAAAAUAUGAAAUCGGUUUUUAAAAAUAGGAAAAAAAAA
rnacentral:lncRNA from 1 species